GAUGAACGCUGGCGGCGUGCCUAAUACGUGCAAGUCGAGCGAACGGACGAGAAGCUUGCUUCUCUGAUGUUAGCGGCGGACGUGUGAGUAACACGUGGAUAACCUACCUAUAAGACUUGGAUAACUUCGGGAAACCGGAGCUAAUACCGGAUAAUAUUUUGAACCGCAUGGUUCAAAAGUGAAAGACGGUCUUGCUGUCACUUAUAGAUGGAUCCGCGCUGCAUUAGCUAGUUGGUAAGGUAACGGCUUACCAAGGCAACGAUGCAUAGCCGACCUGAGAGGGGGAAUGGGCAAACGGGAAGAGAGAAACGGGACAGAAGACUAAGGGAGGGAGCAGUAGGGAAAAGUGCGGAAAGGGGGAAAGGCGGAAGGAGGAAAGGCGAGGGAGAGAAGAAGGGCGUAGGAGGGGAAAAAUCUGGUAAUAGGGAAGAAAAAAAGGGGAAGUAACUGUGCACAUCUUGACGGUAACUAAUCAGAAAGCCACGGCUAACUACGUG
rnacentral:rRNA from 1 species